AAGCCAGCCAAUUAAUCUCCUUAUCUGAAUGUGUUUCUGCAAAAAAUUUAGAAAUAUCUGGCAACCGCGUCGUCAUGUAAUAAGGAAAGUGACUGUUUUUAAGAUUCCUGGAAAUGGCUGCAAUA
rnacentral:snoRNA from 1 species